CACACAUAUAUUAUCCAAAUACACACACACAUGAACACAUAUUUUGAGAUGUUUGGCAGUAUAAUUAGCUUCAUAACUCUGAGGUUUGAUUUCCUACUAAUGUACAAUGAUACAGUCAAACUUUUGAAUAAAUUGUACGCAAAACCUUUCUGUUGUCUAACAUUUGACCUGGAGUUUCUGUAACCUGCUGUUUAUUAAGACAAACGGUACAAUUAGGAGCUCUAAACACUUACAAGGAUCUGUUGCCUGGGGGAGUAUGUACACAGCAUCUCCAUUAAGCAAUUUAAGUAUUGUUAGUGUCAGUUUUAGCUUCCAUUUUUUUCACUUUCAUUUCCUGUUCUAAAUGCAUACUGUGUAUCCCUCUGCGUAUUACACGAUAGUGGAUAAAGAAAAAUUGCCAGUAGAAGCAUAGUUUAUUUGAAACUGCAUUUUGUCACCAGUGGUUUCCCUUCCCCGGUUGUAUAACUGCAUUCCUCCUGGCCAUGGACAAAGGUCAGAUGUUCAGAGUAAUUUUAUUAGAUCUAUCAACAGUCUUUGAUACCUCACAAAUGAGGGAUUGCUGACCUGCCCGCUGUUGGCGCUUUGUGCUUCCUCUUGUGGAUAGUUUAGUUUAAUGUGUUGCUUACUUCUUCUGUGUAUUGUGGACUCAGAUGUUAGGAUGACUGGGUGUAUAAAGCUCAUUAAAGCAAAAUAUUUUUAUCUGGGCAGCAUACAAUUCCUGUGUACAGAAUCUUGCCUCUGUUGUGCAAAAUAUGGGGAAAUCAGAGUUAUACCAUGCAAAACUAAUAGUAGAGGACUCCCUUUGAAUUUUUUUUUCUUUGAUAACAAAAUGUCUCUUUUGAGCUCCUCUGAAAGUAAAGCCAAAUAUAAGGGUCACUUCUGUAGCAGCUUCAUAGAUGCUAAACUCUAAUACCACUACUGGAAUCUAGUUUUCUUAUGGUGGCAUUCAGUGUCAUGGUGAGUCUUUUUCUGGUUUUCAUAAGAGAUUUUUGUAAAGGCUUUGGAGCAGCUGUUAUCCUGCUUUUUAAUUUUAUCUGUAGGUUAUUUUUCUUUUGCUGUGGUUUGCUAAUCGAGCAGUUCUUAACUGUCAACUGUUAGAGAAAUUUCUUUGCAUUAUGGCCCAAUUGUGCAACAAUGAUUUCUCUCCAUCUGCUAUAUUUCUCAUUUCUAAUUAAAUCUGAGCACCGGCUCAAAUACAUCCUGAAAUGCCUUCUAUUGAACACAAUUCAUGUUAAGAGUAGGAUAUUAAAUUAGUGUUGACAGAUCUGAAGGAGCCACAACUACAAAGGCAAGACAUUCAUUGUGUUUUAAGUAAACGAACAUAAUCUGCAGCCCAUAUCCUGUCUCAACCACCUUAACACCAGAUUUCCUACUCUGUGCUGCUUAGCACAGCUGUUCUUCACAAGACAUUUUAUCAUUCCAGCUUUGGACUCUUCUUAGUCCAUAUUAAGGUUAUACUAUGGUCUGUAAGGUCUAGGAGACUUUUACUGGCAGAUUCUCAUGUGUUUGUGUAUUUGAGCCUAUAAUGAAAAGGUAUUUUCCAAAGCUUUUGGUAUUUGGUAAAUCUUGGAUAUUUUUGAAGUAUUUCAGGUGUUACACAGUUACUGCUGGGGCAGACAUGGUUCCCUGCCAGCCAACAUGCAUGGAUUUUUAUGUGAAAAACAAGACUUGAGGAGGGGACAGAUGGAAAGCAAGGAGGGCAGUGAUGCCUUCUGGACCUUGGCUGAGGAUUGAAUGGCAAGACCAUAGGAAAGGAGCCUGAUUGCAGGGGGGAGACUCUUGUCUUAUGAGGGUACAUUCUUCUGGAGAGAAUGUUUUGAGCCUUCUGAGGGACCAGAUGGUACAUCUGAAAGGUCUUGGACUCCUGAAGAUAUCUGAAUUGUUGGACGUCCUUACCACUGGACAACUUCUCAGCCUGGAGUCCCCUUAUAGGCAGACUGGCUACAGCCUCUUGUUUUGGAUAUGGAAAUUUGGCUCCAGACAGCACGAGUGACAUCAUUUAACUGAGCAAAAGUGACAUACAGAGAAGAGAUAAACUGUUGUGUGGCGUAAAGUACUACCUUGCUUGUCAGUUAAUAGUAAGACCUACCUAACUUUUCCUACUCAUAAAAUUCCAUCAUAAAGACCUAAAUUAAAAUUAACUGUUAGUUAGAAUAAUGUAGUCCUUGACCAAAAAAAAACAAAAACAAAAACAAAAAUCCCGUAAAAGAUACCAGUCCACUGGCAUUUUUGCUAGUUUUACUCACCUGCAAAAUUAUAUAAUUUGAUUGAAAUUGUUAAUCUAUAUCCUGAAGUGUGAUUGCUUAUGGGUUUAAAAAAAGGAUUGUUGAUCAUAUAAUAAUUUUGUAAAAUAUAAACUGGACUCCUUUAGGAUGGAACUAAACUGGAUUAUGUUCCCCAAAAUCAGACUGAAAGUACAGUUGCUGCAGACAUAUGCUGAACCCUUGAGCUACACAAGGACUGGUCUAAAUUAACGUUUCAUUGAAAUAUUUGCAGAAUGGAUGCAAGGUCUUCUACAUCAGCUGUUGUGUUUUGCAGAACUACUGCAAAGCUACACUGCAAAUCCAUACACAACCCUGAACACCAUGAAGUAUGCCAUUCAGAAAAUGCUGAACUUUGAAAGUCUUUGUGCAAGGGGGAGAAAAGCAUUUCACAGACUGGGAUUUCGCUCUGUGUGGUUAAAUGUAGGUAUCUUAAAGAUAAUUCAACAAGUCCUUUUGAAAAUAGGUAGCAUCAUGGGUAAAACAGAACUUUUGUUUGCCUGAAAGAAGCUCUAGAUGAUAAUUUCAUUGUUAAUUUAGCAAGUAAAUAUAAAAUUGCCACAUGUUUAUGAAUGAAAGAUGAAGGUACCUUAAAAAAUUAAGAAGUCAUACUCUUAGAUUGUGUCUGUGCUUCUAAACAAAACAGGGCAAGGGAGAGAGUGAAGGCUCUGCAUGGGUGAUCUUGGACCCUGUUUGACCCCAUUUUUAGGGGUUUUUAGGCUAUGCUCACUGAGCUGCCUGGAUGAGGCUUGGCCACACUCCGGGGCAGUGUCAGUGAAAAGGCACCAGGAUGGGCCCUCUCCAUUUUCCAUAUUUCUCCGCUUCUGCUGCAGCUGGCUUGUGUGUUCUCCAAACAUUCCUAUGUGCCUUUGUGCUGCUUUCCACAACAUGGAGGCCCAUGGGCUGCAAUGCACUGCACAACAGGUUUCAGAUUAUAUGAGCUUAAAAACAUACAAAAUACAACUACAUGUUAGGGCCAUAAAGGCAAUACAUGAAACCUGGUGGAGGCACAGGCCGUUUUCACAGUCACUGUGAUUCCACUUGGUAUUUUGUCCAUGGUUUCAUUAAAUCCAAAUGUCCCCUUCAUUAAAAAGUGCAGAGCCAUAAAUAAAUCUUAGAGAAGAAAAAGAAAGAAUUUCAAGCCUUAGGUAUUUUACAUAAUAGUUCUCCUAGAAAGGUAUUUUCCCAUUGUAGUGUCUCCAUUUCAUUGCUAUUGUUGUCAAUUAUGAAUACAUUAUUGUUUGAUGUGGUUUUCAUCUCCUCACCAAUGAAUAAAAGGCACGAUGUUUAAAAAGUGAUCUCUAUACAGGGUGGGAGGAACUUGAAUACACCUGACGAUUCAUCUGAAUAUUCAGAGAUUAAUUUUACUUGGCUACUCUUCCAGCCCUUUGGUGACUACUUUUCCAAAUAUGUGGAUGACUGAUGAAGGGAUGAUGAGAAUGUUUUCUGAAUCAAUAAGGAAGAACAUCUGUUUCUGGAUUUUGUUUUGCCUCUUCACAUUAAAACAUGUUUUGAAGAACUUAGUGGGGUGCUGAAAGCUGGAGAAUUUUUAUCAAGACGUUUUGUUUGUGUAGUGCUGGUGUUUCUUAACUAUAUGCACAAGAUAAAAGACUGUGAUAUGCCUCCUAGUAAAAACUUUGACCUUUAAUAAUUUUGUUAGUUGCUGCUGGCCAAACAAGUGAGAGUGCUUGGCACAUGGCUUUACUCCUCAUCAAUACCAGAUUCUGCAGAUAUUUUUGCAUAAAAUCGGAGUAUCAUCCUAUACCACUUACACAGAUUCUUCUUAAGCAACUAUAAUUUCUUUUAAUUAAGAUAAAAAAUAAUGAAAAAGUGUUCCAAGCUAUUUUUCUAUGUUCUAUUCUUUAAAAAUUAAUCAUUUUCAGUUAGGAUGAAUUUUAUCACGCUCCCACAUGCAAUACAUUUAUUGUCAUAUAUAGGGCAAGAACUCAAGCACUGAUUUUUACACAGCUUUAUGCCUUACCAGCAGGCUGUAUUAAGUUAUAUUUUGUGGGUAUAACUUCUGACACCAAGCUGCAAAUUGGGGGGUUUAUGUGAAGUCUAUCUCCCAGCUUCUAACAGAAUUUGAAUCUAACAGUGCUCCCAUGCUUUAUCCAUUUAAAUACUAAAUGUAGUCCUGUAUUAGAAUGUGUUUUUAUGCAAGAGAUCAGUGGCUUUCAAGAAGGAGUACAGCAUCAUUGCCACCCGUCACACUCCAACCUUCUCUGCAGACAUGCUGAAGCACACUACGUUUGCAAGUCCUCAGUGACAUUCUCUCAAUUGUUUCUGUGGAACUGUUUGGAUGAUACACCUAAACUGAUUAGGUCACCAUUAUGGACAUUACCAUACUCAAGUGUUUGAAAAGGGCAAUAACAGGGGCCCUUUAGAGGCUAAUGACAAAGGCAUAUUAGAAAGGAUGUUAAGGAUUAGAACUUGCUUGGGGUUUUCCUCUGUGUUUUUGUUCAUUUUUUGAAGGGGGUUGGUGCAGUUGAAGAGUUUCUGUAAGUUAAUUUUCCAUUUGCAACAGCUUAAUGUUUUGUGGUUUUUAUGAGUCUUGUCUAGAUCUUUACUGAUCAGACAAAGAAAAGCACAUACAUGUGAAAUGUUGAGGGUAGAGAGAGGGUCACUGAUGAAUGGAUUACUAUGGCAGUAUUAUCACUUGCAAGGAUGGAAAAGGUGUGUUUCACUCUACCCCCUGGUCCUUUAUUUCAUUGCAAUUGCAUUUAACAAUCUGUUGGGUUUUUAUUAAAAAUAUUAUACUAAUAGACAAAAUAAUUUGAUUUAUUUUGAAUUUCAUAAUUUAACAUAAUCUCUGCUUACUGUAAGAGCUAAUAAAUAUUAAGAUUUUUUUCAUUGGGUACUACAGCAAAUCAGUUUUUUGGGAAGUGUAGUGAAUGGCUGCUCUAUUGAGAUUAUGGAGGGUUUCAGUCACCCAGUUACUAACUGUAAGGCAAUACCACUAAAACUAAACUGAAGUCCAUCUGCAAAUAUCAGCAUUUUAUUUGCUCUUCACCAGAAUCUGGUUGCUAUUGGAAAAGCUGAUGCUCCAGCUGGUGGUCCAAAUUGAUGGAGUAAUGCACAUGUGAACUUCCUACAGAGGGCUUUGUCUGGGGUUAAAUGUUUGCUGAACUCAGGGAACAUGGUACACAGUUGCUGAAACAACUUUCUGCUACUGGUACUAAGUGGUAAAGGAUACUAGGUAAAAAAAGGCUGCAGAGAAACUUGGAUGGGUAAAGAUUGAACAGUUAUGGAGGACACAAGAAGAAAACAAUGAAGCUAAUUUUAGAAGAAUGAAGGUUUUCAGGAGAAGGUUGAUAUCUGAACAGCAGUAGCUAUGUAUUUUUUGUAGACAGAUAUCCAGAUACUGAGGUUUGUCCCUAAGCUCAAUGCCCAGUUAAGUGCAUUGCUCCAUUCAUAGUCUGUAUUACUUUUGUAUUUCUAUUAUAUGAACAUUUAAUAGUCAUAUUCACAGAAUCAUAUUGCAAUUUAUAGCAUAGAUAAAGUUAUGUGACAAAAACUACCCCUACUCCAAUGGCUGACAUCUUUAUUACUGUAAAUAGAACAUGGCUAGAUGGUGCUUUUAAACUGGGCUGGAAAUGAGAUGGACAUGCAAGCUGGAGCCUGUGAUUAAGAAAGAUCAAUGUCAGGAGUGGGAAGGAAUCUUAAUGCCAGGGUCUAGAUAGAAAA